rnacentral:rRNA from 1 species
ACGAACGCUGGCGGCGUGCUUAACCCAUGCCAGUCGAACGGAAAGGCCCUGCUUUUGUGGGGUGCUCGAGUGGCGAACGGGUGAGUAACACGUGAGUAACCUGCCCUUGACUUUGGGAUAACUUCAGGAAACUGGGGCUAAUACCGGAUAGGAGCUCCUGCUGCAUGGUGGGGGUUGGAAAGUUUCGGCGGUUGGGGAUGGACUCGCGGCUUAUCAGCUUGUUGGUGGGGUAGUGGCUUACCAAGGCUUUGACGGGUAGCCGGCCUGAGAGGGUGACCGGCCACAUUGGGACUGAGAUACGGCCCAGACUCCUACGGGAGGCAGCAGUGGGGAAUAUUGCACAAUGGGCGGAAGCCUGAUGCAGCAACGCCUCGUGCGGGAUGACGGCCUUCGGGUUGUAAACCGCUUUCGCCUGUGACGAAGCGUGAGUGACGGUAAUGGGUAAAGAAGCACCGGCUAACUACGUG